GCCAACGUUACUGCUAACUCACAGCAUGGCAAUCAGCAAAACAGACAAACAUGCUCUGCACAAGACGGCAAAAGUUUUACAUCAAUGAUUUCAGUGUCUACUGAAGGAAAAAGAAGGAAAAGAAGUAUAUUCCUGCCGUUGACAAGGCAUUGAUCUGUGGCAUACAGAGAUGAUGGGCAGUUGAAAGAAGAAGUCUUAUAGCUGUGCCAGAAGCUGCAAAACAGUGUUAAUGUGAACCAAAUCAGCAACACAAAGGCACAGAUAAGUACUGAUGAAGAACCAUGCCACUGUUACUUAAACACUCAACCCAUCAAGCAGCAGCUCAAUUAAAGACGGAGAGACACUUACAGCACACCCACAGACCAUAUGGCAUCAAAAGAAAAUGAUUAAAUACAAAAAAGUACCAAUAAAUCCAAGGCAGAGUUGUAUUUGUCCAUGCUGAGGAUGUGAAUUUUUAUAUUGUACUUGGAAAUCUAAUAAAAGGAGAGGAAAUUCACGUUUAUCUGCCGAGUGAUGGAAAAAAGUAGAUCUAUUGCCUAAAGGCUUAUCAUUAAAACAACGAACAUGUUCUACCAAGGUAGUGAAGUGAUGUUUAAGUAAAUAAAGUCUGAAGAAGACUCAUGUAACAAUAACAAAAUGUAAUAAAUGCGAAUUCUGGCACGACAAAAAAUAUGGCUUUCAAUCACCUGUCUACAACUUUCAGAGCCAAGGAAUACGGUAAACAAUGAAUAUUUAUGCCUUCGUAUGAGCAAAAACAAGCUGCAUAAGUUAAAACAGGAAACAUAUUCAAACUAGAGUAUGCAAAACAUUGCCUUUAAGUUAAUUUCCAAGGGAGUUAUUAAUUUCUGGCUCUUAGAAAGCUGAAUGGAAACCAACACCAUACAAGUUACUUAAUCUGUGACAUUUGAUAUGCAAUUACAAGUUGGCUAGUGAGCCAAUGACAGAAAGACAUGACUCUUCUAUAAUCUCAUCCAAUAGGGAAAAGGCAAGGCAUAACUUACUGUCUCCUUGAACAUGUGUCUCAGCCAAUAGGAUUAGAACAAAAUGCCUAUCAUCUUUUUACAUGUCAGUCCAUCAAUGUGUCUUUCUAUAGAGCUACUAAUUCACUUAACAGGAACUUGGUGAGAAUAUAAACGAUAGAGUCAAACCCAUAGUGCUACCAGAAACCAUUAUCAACUCAACGCUGCAGAAUGAGAGGCCAAAUUGUAUGAAUCUAUGCUGGUCUUGAGCAGAGGAGGGGACUGCAGGUAUUGUUUUGUAAAAAAUAUUUAGUGUAUUAUUUCAUUUACUCACAUCGGGUGCCAGGUAGUAAGAACAAUGCCUUUAUCCUUGCAGUGUUUUGGCCACAAGUGAAACCUUUGGAAAGAAUUCUUUCUUCCUUAAAAUUGCCUGAUCUGUCACAAACAAGGUUGAUGACACAACAUUUGGUGGCCAACCAAUUCAUUACAAUAGCCAUAACACAUGAGUUUGCGUGACUAGUGCAGCAACACA